CGAGCCUAUGGAGAAAUCCUGAAUUAGGGUAUCGAACCUACUCAAUUGAUCCGGAGUAAAUCUCAUUUAGAAGAAAAUAGAGUAAUACAAAAUAUCAACCAAGCUUCCAUUAUCAAUAAAUAUACGAUAUAUAGUAUAAUCAGUAAUAUUUGCAAUUACAACCACCGCAUCAUUGUGCAGGGCUUGCACACCCUCUGCGUCCUCC
rnacentral:lncRNA from 1 species